rnacentral:rRNA from 1 species
GUGGAUUAGAUACCCUGGUAGUCCACGCUGUAAACGAUGAUUACUAGGUGUGGGAGGUAUCGACUCCUUCUGUGCCGGAGUUAACACAAUAAGUAAUCCACCUGGGGAGUACGGCCGCAAGGUUGAAACUCAAAGGAAUUGACGGGGGCCCGCACAAGCAGUGGAGUAUGUGGUUUAAUUCGAAGCAACGCGAAGAACCUUACCAGGUCUUGACUUCCCGUGCAUAGCAUAGAGAUAUGUGAAGUCCUUCGGGACACGGAGACAGGUGGUGCACGGCCGUCGUCAACU